rnacentral:rRNA from 1 species
GACGAACGCUGGCGGCGUGCUUAACACAUGCAAGUCGAACGGAAAGGCCCUGCUUGCAGGGUACUCGAGUGGCGGACGGGUGAGUAACACGUGGGUGAUCUGCCCUGCACUUCGGGAUAAGCCUGGGAAACUGGGUCUAAUACCGGAUAGGAGCCAUUUUUAGUGUGAUGGUUGGAAAGUUUUUUCGGUGUAGGAUGAGCUCGCGGCCUAUCAGCUUGUUGGUGGGGUAAUGGCCUACCAAGGCGGCGACGGGUAGCCGGCCUGAGAGGGUGGACGGCCACAUUGGGACUGAGAUACGGCCCAGACUCCUACGGGAGGCAGCAGUGGGGAAUAUUGCACAAUGGGCGCAAGCCUGAUGCAGCGACGCCGCGUGGGGGAUGACGGCCUUCGGGUUGUAAACUCCUUUCGCUAGGGACGAAGCUUUUUGUGACGGUACCUAGAUAAGAAGCACCGGCUAACUACGUG